CACGUAGGCACCAAGCGUUGUCCGGAUUUAUUGGGCGUAAAGAGCUCGUAGGCGGUUCGGUAAGUCGGGUGUGAAAACUCUGGGCUCAACCCGAGAGCCGCCACCCGAUACUGCUGUGACUUGAGUUCGGUAGGGGAGCGGGGGAAUUCCUGGUGUAGCGGUGAAAUGCGCAGAUAUCAGGAGGAACACCAGUGGCGAAGGCGCCGCUCUGGGCCGAGACUGACGCUGAGGAGCGAAAGCGUGGGUAGCAAACAGG
rnacentral:rRNA from 1 species